rnacentral:rRNA from 1 species
CACUGUGGMMUUCGCCCUUAGAGUUUGAUCCUGGCUCAGGACGAACGCUGGCGGCGUGCCUAAUACAUGCAAGUCGAACGAAGCUGUUUUAACUGGUGCUUGCACCGACUUAAACAACUGAGUGGCGAACGGGUGAGUAACACGUGGGUAACCUGCCCCAAAGCGGGGGAUAACAUUUGGAAACAGAUGCUAAUACCGCAUAACCACAGAAACCACAUGGUUUCUGUGUCAAAGAUGGUUUCGGCUAUCACUGUGGGAUGGACCCGCGGCGUAUUAGCUAGUUGGUAAGGUAAUGGCUUACCAAGGCAAUGAUACGUAGCCGAACUGAGAGGUUGAUCGGCCACAUUGGGACUGAGACACGGCCCAAACUCCUACGGGAGGCAGCAGUAGGGAAUCUUCCACAAUGGACGAAAGUCUGAUGGAGCAACGCCGCGUGAGUGAAGAAGGUUUUCGGAUCGUAAAACUCUGUUGUCAGAGAAGAACGUGUGCGAGAGUAACUGCUCGUGCAGUGACGGUAUCUGGCCAGAAAGCCACGGCUAACUACGUGCCAGCAGCCGCGGUAAUACGUAGGUGGCAAGCGUUGUCCGGAUUUAUUGGGCGUAAAGGGAACGCAGGCGGUCUUUUAAGUCUGAUGUGAAAGCCUUCGGCUUAACCGAAGUCGUG